UAAUCGCGGAUCAGCAUGCCGCGGUGAAUACGUUCCCGGGCCUUGUACACACCGCCCGUCACACCAUGAGAGUCGGGAACACCCGAAGUCCGUAGCCUAACCGCAGGGGGGCGCGGCCGAAGGUGGGUUCGAUAAUUGGGGUGAAGUCGUAACAAGGUAAC
rnacentral:rRNA from 1 species